CGGAGCGUGGCGCAGCCUGGUAGCGCAUUAGACUGGGGGUCUAAGGGUCGCAGGUUCAAAUCCUGUCGCUCCGACCA
rnacentral:tRNA from 1 species